UCAUAAAUCAUACAACAGAUCUGCUGUGGAACUAUGUGUUCAUCUAGAUGUACCAGGUUGUUAUGGUGUCAUAAUGUAUACACACAGGAAGUUUGCCUGUUUGCAUGUGACAGAGCCAGGCACCCGGCAGUGGAUUCUAGAGUCCUACAUGAGGAGAGAAUAUAAAAAUACUGCAGGAUUAUGUGAUAAAUCCUGACCAGCUUCUGAGGAGGAAGGUCCAGUUGUUUUACAGUGACGAACAGCUCGGCUCUGCUGUGACAGUGUCAGUUGGCAAAUUGUUCUUUGAUGGCUUGUUGUCCAGGACCAUAAUAAAGACUAUGUUGACUAAGUGACUUGUCCUUGGAUGAGGACUAGGACAUGUGGGCUUGUACAUUAAAACUGUGCUCACUGUUUCUCUUUUCUUAGUGAUUAAUCAGACUAUGCACGUGCCUAUAUUGGAUUUUUUUUAAAUCAACAUUUUAUCAUGAUUUAAAUAAGGAGCCUCUGCAGGCAUUGUAUUUUGGUCUUAAUAAAGCAUCAUCUUGGAUCAUCA